AUUGAACGCUGGCGGCAGGCCUAACACAUGCAAGUCGAACGGAGUGGCGGACGGGUGAGUAAAGCCUAGGAAUCUGCCUGGUAGUGGGGGAUAACGUCCGGAAACGGGCGCUAAUACCGCAUACUAUCAGAUGAGCCCAGGUCGGAUUAGCUAGUUGGUGGGGUAAAGGCCUACCAAGGCGACGAUCCGUAACUGGGCUGAGAGGAUGAUCAUUCCCACUGGAACUUGUACACGGUCCAGGCCCCUUCGGGAGACAGCAGUGGGGAAUAUUGGACAAUGGGCGCAAGCCUGAUCCAGCCAUGCCGCGUGUGUUAAGAAGGUCUUCGGAUUGUAAAGCACUUUAAGUUGGGAGGCGUUACCAACAGAAUAAGCACCGGCUAACUUCGUGCCAGCAGCCGCGGUAAUUC
rnacentral:rRNA from 1 species